CUCAGACCCUGAGGAGGUGGUCCCAGCAGCCUCCUGCCUCUCUAAGAUACACUCAGAGCUUGUCAAGACCAUGGACAAGUCACUUCACUCAAUAUCGUCUCAAUUUGUUCAUCUAUAAAAGGGAUAUAACAGCACCACUGCAUAAGCUGGUAAUGAAGAUUAAGUGCAGAGAGUUUAAAACAGAGCCUGGCACCCAGUAAGAAAACCAUAAACAUUACUGCUAGUGGCUUC